rnacentral:rRNA from 1 species
AGCAGCCGCGGUAAUUCCAGCUCCAAUAGCGUAUAUUAAAGUUGUUGCAGUUAAAAAGCUCGUAGUUGAAUUUCGAGACCGGUUUACUGGUCGUGCUUUUGUACGUACUGGUAUUAUUGGUUUCUCCUUUCUGACGAACUAUAAUGCCAUUAAUUUGGUGUUAUAGGGAAUCAGGACUGUUACUUUGAAAAAAUUAGAGUGUUUAAAGCAGGCUCACGCUUGAAUACAUUAGCAUGGAAUAACGGAAUAGGACGUUUGAUUCUAUUUUGUUGGUUUCUAGGAUCGACGUAAUGAUUAAUAGGGAUAGUUGGGGGCAUUAGUAUUCAAUUGUCAGAGGUGAAAUUCUUGGAUUUAUUGAAGACUAACUACUGCGAAAGCAUUUGCCAAGGAUGUUUUCAUUAAUCAAGAACGAAAGUUAGGGGAUCGAAGACGAUCAGAUACCGUCGUAGUCUUAACCAUAAACUAUGCCGACUAGGGAUCGGGAUGAUUAG